rnacentral:misc_RNA from 1 species
AUUUGUUUGAAACGCUUCUAAGACGAUUGUAAACAAAUUGCAGAAGAGGAAGAGGUGGUCACCGUGAUGCCCGUGUUGAAAAGAUAGUAUACAAAUAUGUAAAGUAAAUAUCCCUUUCCAUGUUGAAAUAUGAGUCAUUUCAUGUUUUGUGUACGUUUUACAUAAUUGCUACUUCUACGAACUCUAGAGAUAAGCUAAUGAAUCAGGAUGGCUACAUUUGGAGAUUUUGAAAUCGUUGACAACGACAACGACGACCUCAUCGAGAGACCAAGAGAACAACCCAGGGAAGACAUUGAGAGACAAUCUGCAGACGAAGCAAAAUCAAAUGAAAGAGAUAAUUCAGAAAACUUCCAAUCAAUUGGAGAUUUUGAUUUGGCAGACUUUAUUCUUGAUGAUCUGUCAUUCGAUGUUUGUGAAACCAAACAGCAGUCUGACAGCGGCUCUGAGUUUAGUUUUAUAGAGAUACCUGAAAACCAAGCCAUAGGCACAGCGUUUUCUAAUGAUGAUUAUUCCAGACCAACAACACCUGCUUCGUCAGACUGGAGUCUGUUACAGUGUGGCUUGAUCUCGGACAGUGACACAGAAAGUUUAGAACUGACGAAAAGCACCUCUCCUUGCUCAUCAACAAGUGAAAAUGAAAACCAAAAUGAAAGCAGUUCUUCUUCACAACAGUGUGCAUCAAGCAAGAAGGGGGCUCGC